rnacentral:rRNA from 1 species
AACGAACGCUGGCGGCGCGCCUAAUACAUGCAAGUCGAGCGAGAAGACGUAGCAAUACGUUUGUAAAGCGGCGAACGGGUGAGGAAUACAUGGGUAACCUACCCUCGAGUGGGGAAUAACUAGCCGAAAGGUUAGCUAAUACCGCGUACGCUCCUUGGACUUCGGUUCAGGGAGGAAAGCGAUACCGUGGGUAUCGCGCUCUUGGAUGGGCUCAUGUCCUAUCAGCUUGUUGGUGAGGAACGGCUCACCAAGGCUUCGACGGGUAGCUGGUCUGAGAGGACGAUCAGCCACACUGGCACUGCGAC